GAUCGUGCGCGAGCCCUAUUUAGCGCUAUCGGUGUCUCGCGACUAAAUAUGUCAAGCUUGAUAACCGAGCGCAUAAUCGCGGAAUUGUAUCCUACAUAGAAAUCCAAGAAUGUAGACUGAGCGAUAGACAAUCGGAGCCGAUCGAUCGAUGAUUGUAUCAUCUUUUAGUCUCACCCCCUCUCUCAUUUUCCAGGUAUCAACACUAUUAUCUCUUUAUAAAUUACCGAGAUCCAAGGCAAUCUACUACGACACACCCACCAGUUUACGGAACCGUGAUCUCAGAUAUCUGGGUGAUGUCGAAUGGUAAUCAAUAAUACAGAUGAUUGAUUAUCUAAUGAAUAAUCAAUAAAUCGUCGAGAUGACACUGGUUCACCAUAAGAAACUUGCAAUGAGAAACAAUCGGAAAUUGUAAAGACGAGGAAAUUAUCGAGAUUGGCGUACCGCGUCGAGAUCUUCACCGUCAUCGUCGUCGUCAAGGGAUCAGUCUGCAGCUUGGGCGAAAUACUUAGUUUCGCGAAAACACCUGUGCAACAGCAGCGCGAGUUCAGCAACGGCGGCGUCGCCCUCGAGCCGCACUUUGGCGUCGCGGCGUUAAUGACAUAACACACAGGGACUGACUAUACAACGACAACGACGGAGCAAGAGCAGGGGUAGGAAUCGCGCGCGGCACGCGAAGCAGCCCCUCUCCGUCCAUCUUUCUCUCUCUCUCUACUUUUCCUGCGGGUGAAAAGCAAGCAGUGGAGCCGGGGUUGAGCCAAGCUGAGCGAGCGAACCACCCCUGCGCGCCUGCCGGAACACGCCGGAUCAAUACAAUCCAGCUGUUCUCCUUUCUGGCAUCCCCUUCGCGCGCUAGAGCAGAACUACUACCGACCCGGUGGCGGUGACGAUAGCGGCGCGGCAGCAGAUCGGCGAUUCCGAACAAAAAAUCGGAAAACUCUUUUUAAAACGACAAAAAGUAUCUUUCCUUUAUCCUUAAAUUAUUUUGCAUUAACAAGAUAAUUUUUGACACUUUUUAAUGAAUCAUAAUCAUUUUAAUAUAAUCAUUUUGAUGAAUAUAAUAUAGAUGAAUAUAAUCAUUUUGAUUUCGUUACUAUCACUUGAUACUUAGAUAAAUCACAGACAUAUUGCGGGUCAACAUAUUGCAGGACAUAUUAUAGUGUUCAACUGAGAUAUUCCAACAAGCUCGGAAUUUCUACAGAAAAUGCCAGAACUCGCUCACAGCAACGCUUUUCUUAUCAGGCUUGUUGAAAAAUCAAUAGAAUUUUUUAGUUUUGAAAAAAGGUCGAGUAAUUUGUACACAUGAAGUGUCCACUUAUUUAAUGGCUUAUCAUUUUUUUACAGAAAAAAUAACAGUAUUCAAAAAAUUGAAUGGAAAGUUAUGAAGAGUGUUAACUCUUAGUAGCUUAUGUGAAAAACGGCACUACAUGUGGCCCUAUAUGGGUCUUUUGAGUUCGGCUCUUUUAUCGUAUCUUUAAAACGAUUUGAAAAAUCUGUAAAAAUUCACGGAUAUACUUUAAAGUUUCUAGAACAAAUACCUGUACUUCAUUGUGCAUUUUUAGAAGGGGCAAAAAAUCCAGGAUCUUUCAAUGUGCUGAAAAAUUUCUAUAAAUAGAAACUGUCCGGACUCGAAAUACGCAUGUAGGGUCACUAAGGGUUAAUUAGAGCAAACGUUAAACAAGAAUAACUUUAACAUCAAUGUUGACUCUAGUUGCGACUCUAAUUGACCAUUCGCUCUAAUUGCCUUCUAGUUUUACAUUAUAAAUAUAACUUUCUUUUUCCAUUUUUUCUAGUUAAAGAUUAAGUACAAAACUGACGACGGGAUUGACGCGCGAGAUUCACCUGACAACGGAGCGCAUGUUGCUUCGCCGUCCGGCAAGCAGGUGUAGCUGAAUACGUUGGCAGCAACAACAGUGCUGGCGCAUCUGCAGCUGCUGUUGCGCCCGUUGUUGUCUCUUGCCAUUGGCUGCUGCGUGCAGUUUGCGUUUGCGCGACCGCUUCAGCAUCUUUUGCCGGUCCAGCAGGAAGUUGCCGCGCCACAGAGUUUCGAAGAAAGCCCGGCCGUCGGCUGGGCCUCGUCCGCGUGCGGGUUUCGCUGCUGAUACCGUCGUAGACAUCGUCAUUCCUCAAAAACGAUAACUAACAGGAAACACUGGUUCUCUAAGAUCUUUUUCCUUGUCCUUUUUAGUAAAUCUUGCUUAGGUUAGCUAUUACUUUUUUCCUCGAUAUUUUCUUUUUCUUCGUGAUCAGCGUGGUUAAAUUCAAAGUGCUAGAAGUCCUACCAAGUUGUGGUCGUCCUAUUUUUACUGUGUAAUAUGUUCACAAAGUGUAGGAUGGCCUCAGAUGUUUCAAAUUUUAUAAAUCUUUAGAAAUGUUGCGUUUCUUACUAAAGUUCUUGUUCUUAAAAUUCUUCCUGGUAGUAAAGUAUCAUGUGACACAUUCGUUAACCUUUCUACAUUGUAUUCGAUUGUAGACUAAUUGCGAGUAAUCCGUGUCAAUUUUUUCCUCAGAUUUUAGAGUGAGUCGUGAGAUUUGUGAUAUUUUCAAGUUCUACGGAUCCUCUUCUUAUAUAAAUAGCGAUAUAUAUAAUUUGUUAUAUAUAUAAAUGUACGAUUUUCUCCACAGCGGUAUAUGCUAAUCGUCACUGCGAUUCGUGAUCAACUUCCGCUUUGUCGAAAAUCCUUCUAAAAACUACACCUGGUCGUUGUAAUUUUACUCAAGUUUGUCCAUCAGAGAUUUCAUGAUCGGAUAUCUUUUUGGUCGAUUUAUUCCACUGGCUGAAAUAAGGGAAAUCCGACAAUCCGGUAAAUAAUCGACGAACAGUAAUUAGAGUGCUAAUUAAGAACUUAAGGAGCUCCGUCGGUCGGCCCAGGUUGCGCAAGUAGCUUUUCGCCACUUAAUCCCUUCGCGAACGGAGGUGGAGGCAGGCUGAUAUCACACAGAUAUAGAAACGUAAUAGUUCUCUCCCUCUCCAACCGCUGCGCCGUCUUUUGUAUUCAGUAUUCCGGCUUUCCUAGCCAGAACAAUCAUCCGGCGACGAUGACAAUAGCAGUUUCGUCUUUUGCUUUUCUCACGUUCUACCUCGAUAUCUCUCAAGCGGCCCUUAUCAUCUCAUAUCCGAGUGUUGUUUAUCGUUCCCGGGGACAUUAUCAUUCUUUAUACGUAUAUUCUUUCCUGUUUUUUAUUUUUGUAUCUGGUUUUCAUCCAUUACUUAAUAUUAUUCUUAUAAUUUCCUAUUGUUAUCGGGAGAAUAAUGAUAUAUAAUAUUAUGUAUUAGGAUGUUAUAAGAUCAUCAAGAAUAACGAACGAUAUUAUUUGUUACUUAAAUAUUAUUUUACGGAGGACAGAUUAUUAUAUUUCGACGCUUCGGGUCGUUAAAUCUUUCUUCCUUAUUUUAAUACGAUCGUGGAAGAAUAUAGGAAUAUAAUAUAUAUCGUACGAUAAAGUUGCUGUAUAUUAUGCACUCUAAUGCAGAAGUUAGUUCAGGAAGACUUCAGAUCAGGCACACUAUUAUCGUCGCGUUGUUCCCCGCUUGCGGAAGACACUUUUCUCAACGACGUAAAAUUGAUUUGUCGUCGUCGACGACUUGGAGACACAUGGAUUUUGUAGAAAAAAAUUUUUCGCCGUUCCUUAAAUCUCUUCUGUGUGUGGAUUUUCUCUGAGAUAUAAUAUCCUUAUCCGAUCCCUCUUUAGCGAGACGGAAUUUAUGAUCGCAAAAGGAAGACGUGUGCGCGAUAUCCUUUAUAUAUCGUGAUCGAAUUAUGAUCUUUCUUUCCCAUUAAAACAUCUUUUUUCAUCACACCUGUUAACUGUGCGCGUGUUUCUUCUCGCGAAUUUCUCGCUCAGAUUUCCUCUACUCUUUUUUUUCUUCUUCUGUAUCGAUUCUUUCUAUAUUUUCCGUAUGUUUUGACAACGAACACCGUUGUCUUGCUCCCGUGUAACGUGACGUUAACUCUAGACUUAUAUUUUUAUAGAUCGUUAUUUUAUAGCCCGUUAUUUUUUUAACUUAGUGCUUAGGGACGACCUCGCGGAGUAAAUUACACAGAUUAAAUGCUAAUGGAAGACUUUUGUGAUUUGUCCGCAGGAUUGACGUGUCGCGGCGUCACAUGUUUAUUCGACCCGAUCACGGGGUCCUGUUAAUCACCCCCUGACGAUUCCCGAUGCAACCGUCGACAACACACGACGACGCGUCCGGCGUCGUCACGCCGGUCCAUCCUCACACUGAACCGGAAAAGUCGGACGAGAGGGAUGCUGCGUUCCCUCCCACCUUUCACACCGGUUCUUCUCCCUCAGCCCACACCUAACGCACCUCUACGGUUCUCCCUCUUAGCGCCGGCGCUAUGGGAUAACCAACUCAAUUUCUACAACAUUGACACAAUUCCGUUACAAGAAAAAUGAAGAUAAGAAAUUUUUACUUACUUAACGCGUCCAAAUUCAUCUUGUGGCGUGGAUGAUUUGAUGUCACUGCCCAUCAACAUUGAUCUAUAUGACUCCACCUUGUUCUGCACUUCUUCGUUUGUAAAUCUGUGAUUUGGAUAAAAAUAGAAAGGAUAUAAAAUUAUAAUUUUUAUUUGACUAUGUAUGUAUGCAUGUGUAUGUAUAAAUGUGAUAUAUCUUCAUCAGAA